CGCGGCAGCUGGACCGGGUGGUACAGACCGCCAAGCCAGACGGGUUUUAACGGAGCCGAAGGUCCACCAGCCCUCCGGACCCGGGAAGUGCUGCUGAGGUCCUGGGCGCAGAGCUUUAGCUGGGAAGCCACUCGGGUACCGGGAUUGAACACAGGGACACUUACCAGCCCUUGGUAUCGCAAAAUUUUAAGUUGCUUAGGGCCUCACUAAAUUGCUGAGGCUGGCCUUGAACUUGCGAUCCUUCUAUCUCAGGCUCUGGAGUCACUGGGAUUGCAGGAGUGCGUCACCACGCCUGGCAACAACGGAUGGUUUUUACAACUUUACCUUCUGGCUUUACAAAUAAUUAUACAAAUUUAUGAUUUUUAAGCCAAGAGCUACUUUGAUAUGAACUUUUAAGAAAAAGUUUUAUCAUAAUUGACAAGUUAUCCAGUAACUAAUCAUAAAAUUUCCCAGACAAAUGACAACAGAUGUAAGACAUACUGGAAAAAUUCAACGACUUGGAAUUGAAAAGUACGAAAAUUAAAAAUCAUCCAAAAACGAAUGCUGAGAAUCUACCAAUGUUAACUUUUUGGCUCUGUUUUGCAUUUUUAAAAUCCACAUUAAAACUUACUAAAACUCAAA